CAUGUACAUAUACAAAACUCAAAGCAAAGCAUGUGACAUGAUUAUUUUUGGUUUGAGAAUGGGUGGCAUGGGAAAAGAAGCACGUUGCAUACUCAAGAAUACACGUACUUUAGGUCAUCUGUUGGUAGAGCAACUGCCUGACAACCUUGGGCAGCAGGCAGGUGCCCCAGGCUGUUUCUCUACAGGCCGUCGACAUCCCAGUUGUUCCUGCAGAUCAACGAGACAAAAGGGAGACCAUGCGUCUGUAAUUCUAGCGGCCGGAAGAUGGGUGACAAAUCCAGUGAAAGGGUAGCAUACAUGGCACAUGGACUUUUCUGGAUAGACCGAGGCACCGCGCCAUCAGCUUCCCGUGCAUAUUCGAUCUUUACCCACCCCACAUCUAUCCAAUACCAUUUGGGUAGGGUAUGUGUGUGUGGAUAGAUUGGUUAAAUUGGAUAUGGGUAUGAGUCACAUACCCAAGCAAUA
rnacentral:lncRNA from 1 species